UGGAAUGGAACAUGGUAAUAAAGCUUUCAUUUCUUUGAUAUACUUUUAAGGAUUCAUGCCCCAGCCCCGAAAUGGCUGCCGGCACAACAGCCCCAGAAUCACCUACAAAGCAACACAGAGUUUCUGUGGAACAAGGAGCAACAUUUAAUAUCCGUGAGAUCCUUUACAAGACAACUGAUGGAAAAUGCAUGGUUCUCGAUCUUGAGGAACAGAAUCAUAUAUCAAUUAUG